rnacentral:rRNA from 1 species
UACGUAGGGUGCGAGCGUAAUCGGAAUUACUGGGCGUAAAGCGUGCGCAGGCGGCGGCUCAAGUCAGGUGUGAAAUCCCCGGGCUUAACCUGGGAAUUGCGCUUGAAACUAGGUCGCUAGAGUGUGGCAGAGGGGGGUGGAAUUCCGACGUGUAGCAGUGAAAUGCGUAGAGAUGUGGAGGAACACCGAUGGCGAAGGCAGCCCCCUGGGUCAAGAUUGACGCUCAUGCACGAAAGCGUGGGGAGCAAACAGG